UUAAGGCGGAGCUGUGAUGGCGAGGGAAAUAUAGUACCGAAGUUCCUGAUUCCACGCUGCCAAGAAAAGCCUCUAGUGAGAUGUAAGGUGCCCGUACCGCAAUCCGACACAGGUAGGCGAGGAGAGAAUCCUAAGGUGUGCGAGAGAACUCUCGUUAAGGAACUCGGCAAAAUGGCCCCGUAACUUCGGGAGAAGGGGUGCUUUUUAGGGUGAAUAGCCCAGAAAAGCCGCAGUGAAUAGGCCCAGGCGACUGUUUAGCAAAAACACAGGUCUCUGCGAAGCCGCAAGGCGAAGUAUAGGGGCUGACACCUGCCCGGUGCUGGAAGGUUAAGGGGAGAGGUUAGCGCAAGCGAAGCUUUGAACCGAAGCCCCAGUAAACGGCGGCCGUAACGGUAACGGUCCUAAGGUAGCGAAAUUCCUUGUCGGGUAAGUUCCGACCCGCACGAAAGGUGUAACGAUCUGGGCACUGUCUCAACGAGAGACUCGGUGAAAUUAUAGUACCUGUGAAGAUGCAGGUUACCCGCGACAGGACGGAAAGACCCCGUGGAGCUUUACUGCAGCCUGAUAUUGAAUUUUGGUACAGCUUGUACAGGAUAGGUAGGAGCCUGAGAAGCCGGAGCGCUAGCUUCGGUGGAGGCGUUGGUGGGAUACUACCCUGGCUGUAUUGAAAUUCUAACCCGCGCCCCUUAUCGGGGUGGGAGACAGUGUCAAGUGGGCAGUUUGACUGGGGCGGUCGCCUCCUAAAGAGUAACGGAGGCGCCCAAAGGUUCCCUCAGAAUGGUUGGAAAUCAUUCGUAGAGUGUAAAGGCACAAGGGAGCUUGACUGCGAGACCUACAAGUCGAGCAGGGACGAAAGUCGGGCUUAGUGAUCCGGUGGUUCCGCAUGGAAGGGCCAUCGCUCAACGGAUAAAAGCUACCCCGGGGAUAACAGGCUUAUCUCCCCCAAGAGUCCACAUCGACGGGGAGGUUUGGCACCUCGAUGUCGGCUCAUCGCAUCCUGGGGCUGUAGUCGGUCCCAAGGGUUGGGCUGUUCGCCCAUUAAAGCGGUACGCGAGCUGGGUUCAGAACGUCGUGAGACAGUUCGGUCCCUAUCCGUCGCGGGCGCAGGAAAUUUGAGAGGAGCUGUCCUUAGUACGAGAGGACCGGGAUGGACGCACCGCUGGUGUACCAGUUGUCUUGCCAAAGGCAUAGCUGGGUAGCUACGUGCGGACGGGAUAAGUGCUGAAAGCAUCUAAGCAUGAAGCCCCCCUCAAGAUGAGAUUUCCCAUGGCGCAAGCUAGUAAGAUCCCUGAAAGAUGAUCAGGUUGAUAGGUCAGAGGUGGAAGCGUGGCGACAUGUGGAGCUGACUGAUACUAAUAGAUCGAGGACUUAACCGA
rnacentral:rRNA from 1 species